ensembl:snoRNA small nucleolar RNA SNORA2/SNORA34 family
AUGUCCCUGAAUCAAGGCCGGCAGCUUCCUGAUACUAUUGGUCUGAAGCAGGAGCCUAAAGAGAUGUCUUUGUAUGGUCUGUUGAUCAUUUCAGAACUUGGGCAGUGAAAUGGUCAAUUCAUCGGAAAGAAACAGCU